rnacentral:rRNA from 1 species
UACGUAGGGUGCAAGCGUUGUCCGGAAUUAUUGGGCGUAAAGGGCUCGUAGGCGGUCCGUCACGUCGGCCGUGAAAACCCGGGGCUCAACCCCGGGCCUGCAGUCGAUACGGGCGGACUAGAGUUCGGCAGGGGAGACUGGAAUUCCUGGUGUAGCGGUGAAAUGCGCAGAUAUCAGGAGGAACACCGGUGGCGAAGGCGGGUCUCUGGGCCGAUACUGACGCUGAGGAGCGAAAGCGUGGGGAGCGAACAGG